CCCACACCCCGGUCGGUGCUCCCUGCUUCCAGGCAGCUGAGGAAGCACAGUGCUGUCAGAGGUGCCUGGCAGGAGCCCAGCACAGGUGGCUGUAGUUCUGCUCCCAGCUGACAGCUGCCCACGUGUCCACACCAACACAGCCUGCUCCUCUUGUGCUGCAGGAUGCUGAAUUACCCCCACACACGUCAGCAGGCUGUUGGGGUUGGUGGUGGAUGUGCUCCUGCCCUGCAGGAAGGCGUGCUGAGGAAACGAAGCCCUGCAUGGAGGCGGCGCUGCUCUGGCUGGUGGUGAGAAGGGUUGGGCUGUGGGGCUGGGGGCUGCAGGUGCGGCCCGGCGUGAGCUCCGCAGUGUCACCCGGUGCUGGGCUGGGCCCCGCCGCACCCUUUGGGCUUUAUUUUUAGCACGGCCCGGCUGGUUCUACCUGCACGAGCUGCUGGCAGCUCUGCUGCUGUGGGAUUCCGGGGGGCUGAGCACAGCCCUGCCCUCCUGGCCAUGCUGGAGGGGACCCAGAGGAGGCCCAGUGCCCUCAGCAGGGGGUAGCGCUGCAGUGCCUCUGGGCUCAGCAUAGGCCCCGUGUAGUCAGGGCAGGCUCAGCCAGGGUCCAGCCCUGUCCCCGUGCCCCCAGUUCAGUCCUAAUGGCCCCCAGCCCUCUCCCAGCACCAUUCAAUUCCCCCCCAGCCCUGUCCCAGUGCCUCCAGUUCCAUCCUAAUGUCUCCCAGUUCCACUCCAGCCGACUCUCGUUGCCCCAUCUCAGUACUCCCCCCCUCCCAGUGCCCCCAUCCCAUCCCUGUCGCCCCACCCCACCGCUCCCCGCUGCCCA
ensembl:lncRNA